CCACCCAGCCUCUCUGGGUAGGACUACCUGGCAGUUAUGGGUCUCAUUUCCAUCCUGAUAAACAUGAUGACAACACAUAGCAGCAGUGUUGAUUUGAGACUCUUUUUAGAGGUGCUCAAGCACCUUUAGAUUUUAUUUCAGCACCCCUACAAAAAUAAAGUUAAAUUAUAUAAUAUUUUAUUUUAUAAUAUAUUUUAAAAUAAGAAGGGGGAAGUGAAAUUCAUGGAGCAGUUUAAAGUGGAAACUUUGUUCUUACCAUGAUGGACCUAUAAAGAAACUAACUGUUCUGGCAGUUAGUUACUGCUGGAAACACAGCGGAAGAAGCGGUGAAAACAAAAGUGGUUGAAAUCGCAUCUGAAAUAGUCCCGUUGCCUACGUUUACUGGAUACCAUAGAAGACACCAGUGCUGAGAUUGAUGAAGAUAAUAAGGUUGCCAGUGCUGAGGUUGAUGAAGGUGAGCAGCAUGCUGCCUGCCAGUGUAUAAUGAGGCCGCCUGUUAUUCAGGGGCGGUUCCUUAGAGGAGGCAACGAAGGCAACACCUCCUCGUGAUUUAAAAAAUAAAAAUAAAUAAAAAGAUUUAAUUGUAAAAAGAAUAAUUGUAACAAUACUGUAA